rnacentral:rRNA from 1 species
GAUCAUUAUUGAAUAAACUUGAUGUGGU